UACAGAGGCCUCGAGCGUUAGGCGGAAUCACUGGGCUUAAAGCGUGUGUAGGCGGAGUUCUAAGUACCUUGUGAAAUCCCACGGCUCAACCGUGGAACUGCUUGGUAUACUGGUUCUCUUGAGGUACCUAGGGGCGAGCGGAACAAGUGGUGGAGCGGUGAAAUGCGUAGAUAUCCGGAGGAACACCGGUGGCGAAGGCGGCUUCCUGGACCGACACUGACGCUGAGGCGCGAAAGCUAGGGGAGCAAACGGG
rnacentral:rRNA from 1 species